rnacentral:lncRNA from 1 species
CUUAUAAGAGGACCCUAACUCCCUGUCUCUACAUCAGAACAAAGAGACAGCAAGAGCAGGUUUUAGCAGCUAGUGUUAGCGACACAGCUACCAUUUGAAGAUGUGUGUGUUUUUCUCUGAUAGCCGUGUGCUGUGUCUACUGGUGCUGACCAUGGCCAUCCUCUCCUUUACAUUGGAAGUGCGUUCCCAGGGAAUGAGGCCUCUAAAUUGCUGUUUGAAGACAUCCAAAAAACAUCCAGCAGAACCAAUCACACAGUGUCUUAUUCAGAUACCUCGUGGGAAAUGUAACCUCAGAGCAUACAUUUUCGCCAGUGGGGAGCAGUGGAAGUGCAUCAACCCCAAAGCCAGAUGGCUCCCUGCUGAGCUAGCAUCACUGGAACAGAGAGGAAUACAGUGUGACCCACUGAUUAAAUAACCAUCAGACCAUGAUCCUAGAUCAUCAUCAUCGUCAGCAGCAGGUUCAGCAGGUUCAUCUCUCUCAACCAGGAACUACAGAACUAAGAUCUCUCUCAACCAGGAACUACAGAACUAAGAUCUCUCUCAACCAGGAACUACAGAACUAAGAUAAUAAGAAGACAGUGAAAAUGAAGAUUAUGAUUUGUGUGAUUUAAGUAUUUCAAGCUCUCUUUAUCAGAUUAUUUAUGUAUUUAUUUAUUUAUUUCAACCUCAUCCCGGCAUUAAUUUAUUGUACUCAAUUCAUUAAGGUGUUUUAAAGGCAUUUGUAUUUAUUUAUUUCCUCUGUCCUUUUUUUAUGCUGUGAUAAUAACAUAACUUUGUUUGUAUAAAGUCUUUCAUUCUCAAAGUGCUUUACAAUAAUACAAAAUAGAGAACGGGAGACCUAUCGGAGUAUCCCUAUAGUAACUAGACCCUGUAAUGGCUGCAUAAAGGUUAAAGGUUGUGACACUCAAUCGUAUGGCUGGGCUGUGGUCAUGGUGAUGACACUGCUCAUCUGUUCUACCAACAAAGCCAUUCCCUCAGUCCUUGACCCUAUCCUCUUCCACUAGCCGCUACUCCUUGUCCUUAACCCCUACUGCUAGCUACCCCCUAAACUCACAGAUGCAGCUGUUUCAGUGAACCUGUAUUUAUUUGGCCAACAGAUAAACAAAUAAAAUACUAUUGACUGAAAUGGUCAUAAUCAUAAUAGCAUAUUGUUCCCAUGUCAGUCAGUCAGUCACAUGACCCAGUCUUCCUCUGGCCCCUCUCCUCUUCUCUCGGGGUGACUGUGACAUGGCUAACAUGGAAGGUACUGGAAUGAGUAAUAAAAGCAUGACAACCGGACGCUCACUGUGUGUGUGUGCGUGUGCGUGUGUGCGUGUGCGUGUGUGUUAGACGUGGAUCCUUCCUCUUUCCCAGGGAGAGAGAGAGCCAGCAGGAAGGAAGCCAAGUUUAUUCUCAUCCUGACCACAAACUAUUAAUGACCAAGUCUGCAAUGGUCACCAUCAGAUUUACAAUAAUUGCACAUGGAAUGAUAAAAAACCCAUAUGUUGUAAAGUGAUGUCUCCCCCCCCCCCACUGCCUGUCUGGUUAGUGGUUACCAUUCAGUAAGCAGUCUGUAGAACAUAGAGGUGUUAAUUUCGCUUCUGCAUGAUAAUGCAUUACACGUACACACACACACACACACACACACACACACACACACACACACACACACACACACACACACACACACACACACACACACACACACCUCUUUCACUCUUUCACUCUUUCUUUCUUUCUUUCUCCUCUCUCUCUCCUCUCUCCUCUCUCUCAAUUCAGUUCAAUUCAAGGGACUUUAUUGGCAUGGGAAACAUCUUUUUACAUUUCCAAAGCAAGUGAAAUGGAUCAACAAAAGUGAAAUAAACCAUAAAAAGUG